UGGCGGUAAUGUGAGCAAGAUAUGACGGCCAAAUAGCUUGGUUUCUCGGUGAAUUAACGUGGGGUACCCGUAUAGAGGUCCGCGCGUGCGCGCAUAAUUAAAGGUGAACCGUGCAUGAAUGCGCAUGAAUGGAUUAACGAGAUUCCUGAUGUCCCUAUCUACUAUCUAGCGAAACCACAGGCAAGGAUAGGACUUGGCAGAAUUAGAUUGAUUUUGAUCUUCAGUAUGAAUUCAGUCCGCGAAAGCGUGGCCUAUCGAUCCUUUUUUGAACUCGCGAGUUUCAAGGAAGUGGUGCCAGAAAAUUUACCACAGGGAUAACUGGCUUGUGGCAGCAAAGCGUUCAUAGCGACGUUGCCUUUUGAUCCUUGGACGGAGUAGGAUAGGAUAUUGAUAUGCAUGUUUAUCCCCGUGAAUGGGAAAACCCCAGGGGUUAUCACACGGGCAAUCGUCAGAUCACCUCGCGCCCAUCGUCGGGUUACCGGAGCUAUUGCAGUGUGUUGUAUGUGAUAGACACGUUCCUUCAAUUUGGUAGAACCCAUUAAUCCGCUGGGUUCAGGCAAUGUCCGUAAAGUGCCUUGCCCAAGGACACAACCGACUAGCUAGCGACCAGUUUCGCAACUGCAACCUUUCGAUUGAAAGGCGACGCACUUAACCGCUAGACCAUCGGGCCGGACACAAACGAUUCAGACAUUUGGUUAAUGUGAUGGGCUGUUAAGCCAAUGGUGCGAAGCUACGUACUAUCCGAGGGAUUUUGACUGAACGCCUCUAAGUCAGAAUUCCACCUGGAAAGCGACGAUGCAUUCCUGCCUCGGCCUCGAGAGGCGUAGAUAUACGGCCACGUGGCCGUGGAAGGAGCCCGAUUCCGACCCGAUAGGCCGUGGCAAGAUGCGGCCGGGAAAAAGGUCAACCUCUGCUUGAAAGGCGAGGUGCUAUAAAUCAUGGAAGAGACUCAAGAUAUGUCGGUUUG
rnacentral:ncRNA from 1 species